rnacentral:lncRNA from 1 species
AGUCUUUCAAUCAAGCUAACAAAAGCGUAGAAUGGCGUGCAGCCAUACACGAUGAAUUCAACGCUCUUAUCUCCAACCGCACCUUGUCUCCAGUUCCAAAACCACCAUUAGCAAAUGUGGUAGGAAAUAAAUGGAUGGGUUUGGCAGAAUAAAGAGAGCGGAUGGCAGACUUAAACGAUUCAAAGGCUCGAUUGGAUGCAAGGGGUUUCAAAUAACAAUAAACUUCAAGGUGGCGGGCGGGUUUGGUGUUAAAGGUGAAAAAAUGGGUGGAAGAAGAUUUCUAGAAUUAAUUUAUUCCAUGACAAAUUUUUAAAACUAUUUUUUUACACAA